rnacentral:rRNA from 1 species
AUUGAACGCUGGCGGAAUGCUUUACACAUGCCAGUCGAACGGCAGCACGGGGGGAGCCCUGGUGGCGAGUGGCGAACGGGUGAGUAAUACAUCGGAACGUGCCCGGUCGUGGGGGAUAACGUAGCGAAAGUUACGCUAAUACCGCAUACGAUCUGAGGAUGAAAGCGGGGGGCCUUCGGGCCUCGCGCGAUCGGAGCGGCCGAUGUCAGAUUAGGUAGUUGGUGGGGUAAAGGCCUACCAAGCCGACGAUCUGUAGCUGGUCUGAGAGGACGACCAGCCACACUGGGACUGAGACACGGCCCAGACUCCUACGGGAGGCAGCAGUGGGGAAUUUUGGACAAUGGGCGCAAGCCUGAUCCAGCCAUUCCGCGUGCAGGACGAAGGCCUUCGGGUUGUAAACUGCUUUUGUACGGAACGAAAAGGCUCUGGCUAAUACCUGGGGCUCAUGACGGUACCGUAAGAAUAAGCACCGGCUAACUACGUG